rnacentral:rRNA from 1 species
AACGAACGCUGGCGGCAGGCCUAACACAUGCAAGUCGAACGAGACCUUCGGGUCUAGUGGCGCACGGGUGCGUAACGCGUGGGAACCUGCCCUUAGGUUCGGAAUAACUCCCCGAAAGGGGUGCUAAUACCGGAUAAUGUCUGCGGACCAAAGAUUUAUCGCCUUUGGAUGGGCCCGCGUUGGAUUAGCUAGUUGGUAGGGUAAAAGCCUACCAAGGCGACGAUCCAUAGCUGGUCUGAGAGGAUGAUCAGCCACACUGGGACUGAGACACGGCCCAGACUCCUACGGGAGGCAGCAGUGGGGAAUAUUGGACAAUGGGCGAAAGCCUGAUCCAGCAAUGCCGCGUGAGUGAUGAAGGCCUUAGGGUUGUAAAGCUCUUUUACCCGGGAUGAUAAUGACAGUACCGGGAGAAUAAGCUCCGGCUAACUCCGUG